GAUGAACGCUGGCGGCGUGCCUAAUACAUGCAAGUCGAGCGAACGGACGAGAAGCUUGCUUCUCUGAUGUUAGCGGCGGACGGGUGAGUAACACGUGGAUAACCUACCUAUAAGACUGGGAUAACUUCGGGAAACCGGAGCUAAUACCGGAUGAUAUUUUUAACCGCAUGGUUCAAAAGUGAAAGACGGUCUUGCUGUCACUUAUAGAUGUAUCCGCGCUGCAUUAGCUAGUUGGUAAGGUAACGGCUUACCAAGGCAACGAUGCAUAGCCGACCUGAGAGGGUGAUCGGCCAAACGGGAACGGAGACACGGUCCAGACUCCUACGGGAGGAAGCAGUAGGGAAUCUUCCGCAAUGGGCGAAAGCCUGACGGAGCAACGCCGCGUGAGUGAUGAAGGUCUUCGGAUCGUAAAACUCUGUUAUUAGGGAAGAACAUAUGUGUAAGUAACUGUGCACAUCUUGACGGUACCUAAUCAGAAAGCCACGGCUAACUACGUG
rnacentral:rRNA from 1 species